rnacentral:rRNA from 1 species
AAAGAAAAAGAGGAGCCGGUAUCAGGCUCUAUAUGCCCACAACACCUAGCCCCGCCACACCCCCAAGGGUAUUCAGCAGUGAUCAACAUUGUAAACUAGCGAAAGCUAAAUUCAGUUACUAGCUAAAAAAACCGGUCAAUCUCGUGCCAGCCACCGCGGUUAUACGGGCAGGUUUAAAUUGAUAACAUCGGCACAAAGCGUGGUUAGAUCCUCACCUUAAUAAAGCAAAAAUUAAGCCUGGCUGUGAUAUGCUUUCGCUUUAAAUAACCUCAAUCACGAAAGUAGCUUUAACCCUUAUUGAACCCACGAUCGCUAGGGCACAAACUGGGAUUAGAUACCCCACUAUGCCUAGCCCUAAACUUUGAUUACUCCGCCCGGGAACUACGAGCGUCAGCUUAAAACCCAAAAGACUUGGCGGUGCCCUAUACCACCUAGAGGAGCCUGUUCUAUAAUCGAUAAUCCCCGAUUCACCUCACCACCUCUUGCCAAUACCGCCUGUAUACCUCCGUCGCCAACUGACCCCUUAAGGGCAAUAGUCGGUUAAAUGGCCUUCUUCCAGUAAGUCAGGUCAAGGUGCAGCGAAUGAGAUGGGAAGAAAUGGGCUACAUUUUCUACUAAUAGACUAUACGAAAGAUCACUAUGAAAUCUGAUUGGAAGGUGGAUUUAGCAGUAAAAAGAGACUAGAGCGCUCUUUUUAAGUUGGCUCUAGGGCGCGCACACACCGCCCGUC